GAUGAAGAACGCAGCGAAAUGCGAUAAGUAGUGUGAAUUGUAGAAUUCAGUGAAUCAUCGAAUCUUUGAACGCACAUUGCGCCCCUUGGUAUCCCGAGGGGCAUGCCUGUUCGAGCGUCAUUUCACCACUCAAGCCUGGCUUGGUGUUGGGCGACGUCCCCUUUGGGGACGCGCCUCGAAACGCUCGGCGGCGUGGCACCGGCUUUAAGCGUAGCAGAAUCUUUCGCUUUGGAAGUCGGGGCCCCGUCUGCCGGAAGACCUACUCGCAAGGUUGACCUCGGAUCAGGCAGGGAUACCCGCUGAACUUAAGCAUAUCAAUAAGCGGAGGA
rnacentral:misc_RNA from 1 species